AUGAAGGGCUUGACGUGUUGGCUGUCAAGAAGCACUAGGUCAACGACAGGCAAGGCAUCCAGGAAGCCACAGCACGAGAGAGCGAUGACGCUCAAAGGGAAGAAGACAUGGGGUCAGAAAAAUGUUAAGAUUGACUUGAUGUGUGGUAAGGAACAUCCAGUUGAAAAGUUUUUUAUGCUUGAACAUCCACUACUCAAUUAUUCUUUAAGUUGUGAAGAGGAGUUCCUGAUGAUAGCUGAAUAUACCAGCCUACUUGCCUACAACCAAGGCAGAAUUAUCAGCGUGUAUGCGAAACAGCCCGCUAGCUGGGUGUGUGCCUCCUGUUUGAGCGAGAGGGAGGACCUUUGCUGGGCAGUCAAAGGAUGUGCUCGGAUAUGGUGGUCCAACUCCAAGCGUAGCUUGCAGCUCCAGCUUAGAUUUGUUAGGAACCAAUCAUCCAGAUGCCUUUCCUAG
rnacentral:rRNA from 1 species